rnacentral:rRNA from 1 species
CGUGCUACAAUGGCGUAAACAGAGGGAAGCGAGCCCGCGAGGGGAGCAAAUCCCAAAAAUAACGUCCCAGUUCGGAUUGUAGUCUGCAACCCGACUACAUGAAGCCGGAAUCGCUAGUAAUCGCGGAUCAGAAUGCCGCGGUGAAUACGUUCCCGGGUCUUGUACACACCGCCCGUCACACCAUGGGAGUCGGAAAUGCCCGAAGCCGGUGACCCAACCCGAAAGGGAGGGAGCCGUCGAAGGCAGGUCGGAUGACUGGGGUGAAGUCGUAACAAGGUACC